AGCGUACACGGUGGAUGCCCUGGCAGUCAGAGGCGAUGAAGGACGUGCUAAUCUGCGAAAAGCGCCGGCGAGGUGAUAUGAACCUUUGACCCGGCGAUGUCCGAAUGGGGAAACCCAGUGUGUUCCGACACACUAUCGUUAACUGAAUACAUAGGUUAACGAGGCGAACCGGGGGAACUGAAACAUCUAAGUACCCCGAGGAAAAGAAAUCAACCGAGAUUCCCCCAGUAGCGGCGAGCGAACGGGGAGCAGCCCAGAGUCUGAAUCAGCUUGUGUGUUAGUGGAAGCGUCUGGAAAGUCGCACGGUACAGGGUGACAGUCCCGUACACGAAAGCACACAGGCUGUGAACUCGAAGAGUAGGGCGGGACACGUGGUAUCCUGUCUGAAUAUGGGGGGACCAUCCUCCAAGGCUAAAUACUCCUGACUGACCGAUAGUGAACCAGUACCGUGAGGGAAAGGCGAAAAGAACCCCGGCGAGGGGAGUGAAAAAGAACCUGAAACCGUGUACGUACAAGCAGUGGGAGCACCUUCGUGGUGUGACUGCGUACCUUUUGUAUAAUGGGUCAGCGACUUAUAUUCUGUAGCAAGGUUAACCGUAUAGGGGAGCCGAAGGGAAACCGAGUCUUAACUGGGCGUUAAGUUGCAGGGUAUAGACCCGAAACCCGGUGAUCUAGCCAUGGGCAGGUUGAAGGUUGGGUAACACUAACUGGAGGACCGAACCGACUAAUGUUGAAAAAUUAGCGGAUGACUUGUGGCUGGGGGUGAAAGGCCAAUCAAACCGGGAGAUAGCUGGUUCUCCCCGAAAGCUAUUUAGGUAGCGCCUCGUGAACUCAUCUUCGGGGGUAGAGCACUGUUUCGGCUAGGGGGCCAUCCCGGCUUACCAACCCGAUGCAAACUACGAAUACCGAAGAAUGUUAUCACGGGAGACACACGGCGGGUGCUAACGUCCGUCGUGAAGAGGGAAACAACCCAGACCGCCAGCUAAGGUCCCAAAGUCAUGGUUAAGUGGGAAACGAUGUGGGAAGGCACAGACAGCCAGGAUGUUGGCUUAGAAGCAGCCAUCAUUUAAAGAAAGCGUAAUAGCUCACUGGUCGAGUCGGCCUGCGCGGAAGAUGUAACGGGGCUAAACCAUGCACCGAAGCUGCGGCAGCGACACUAUGUGUUGUUGGGUAGGGGAGCGUUCUGUAAGCCGUUGAAGGUGUGCUGUGAGGCAUGCUGGAGGUAUCAGAAGUGCGAAUGCUGACAUAAGUAACGAUAAAGCGGGUGAAAAGCCCGCUCGCCGGAAGACCAAGGGUUCCUGUCCAACGUUAAUCGGGGCAGGGUGAGUCGACCCCUAAGGCGAGGCCGAAAGGCGUAGUCGAUGGGAAACAGGUUAAUAUUCCUGUACUUGGUGUUACUGCGAAGGGGGGACGGAGAAGGCUAUGUUAGCCGGGCGACGGUUGUCCCGGUUUAAGCAUGUAGGCGGAACGAUUAGGUAAAUCCGGUCGUUUUUUAACGCUGAGGUGUGAUGACGAGGCACUACGGUGCUGAAGUAACAAAUGCCCUGCUUCCAGGAAAAGCCUCUAAGCAUCAGGUAACAUCAAAUCGUACCCCAAACCGACACAGGUGGUCAGGUAGAGAAUACCAAGGCGCUUGAGAGAACUCGGGUGAAGGAACUAGGCAAAAUGGUGCCGUAACUUCGGGAGAAGGCACGCUGAUAUGUAGGUGAAGCCCCUGCGGGUGGAGCUGAAAUCAGUCGAAGAUACCAGCUGGCUGCAACUGUUUAUUAAAAACACAGCACUGUGCAAACACGAAAGUGGACGUAUACGGUGUGACGCCUGCCCGGUGCCGGAAGGUUAAUUGAUGGGGUUAGCGGUAACGCGAAGCUCUUGAUCGAAGCCCCGGUAAACGGCGGCCGUAACUAUAACGGUCCUAAGGUAGCGAAAUUCCUUGUCGGGUAAGUUCCGACCUGCACGAAUGGCGUAAUGAUGGCCAGGCUGUCUCCACCCGAGACUCAGUGAAAUUGAACUCGCUGUGAAGAUGCAGUGUACCCGCGGCAAGACGGAAAGACCCCGUGAACCUUUACUAUAGCUUGACACUGAACACUGGUCCUUGAUGUGUAGGAUAGGUGGGAGGCUUUGAAGUGUGGACGCCAGUCUGCAUGGAGCCAUCCUUGAAAUACCACCCUUUAAUGGCUGGUGUUCUAACGUAGACCCGUAAUCCGGGUUGCGGACAGUGUCUGGUGGGUAGUUUGACUGGGGCGGUCUCCUCCCAAAGAGUAACGGAGGAGCACGAAGGUUAGCUAAUCCUGGUCGGACAUCAGGAGGUUAGUGCAAUGGCAUAAGCUAGCUUGACUGCGAGAGUGACGGCUCGAGCAGGUGCGAAAGCAGGUCAUAGUGAUCCGGUGGUUCUGAAUGGAAGGGCCAUCGCUCAACGGAUAAAAGGUACUCCGGGGAUAACAGGCUGAUACCGCCCAAGAGUUCAUAUCGACGGCGGUGUUUGGCACCUCGAUGUCGGCUCAUCACAUCCUGGGGCUGAAGUAGGUCCCAAGGGUAUGGCUGUUCGCCAUUUAAAGUGGUACGCGAGCUGGGUUUAGAACGUCGUGAGACAGUUCGGUCCCUAUCUGCCGUGGGCGCUGGAGAAUUGAGGGGGGCUGCUCCUAGUACGAGAGGACCGGAGUGGACGCAUCACUGGUGUUCGGGUUGUCAUGCCAAUGGCACUGCCCGGUAGCUAAAUGCGGAAAAGAUAAGUGCUGAAAGCAUCUAAGCACGAAACUUGCCCCGAGAUGAGUUCU
rnacentral:rRNA from 1 species